CCUGGGCUCGGUGGCGCGUGCUUGUAGUCCCAGCUACUCGGGAGGCUGAGGCUGGAGGAUCGCUGGAGCCCAGGAGUUCUGGGGCUGUAGUGCGCUAUGCUGAUCAGGUGUCCACACUAAGGUCAGCAUCAGUAUGGUGACCUCCUAGGAGCGAGGGACCACCAGGUUGCCUAAGGAGGGGUGAACCGGCCCAAGUCGGAAACGGAGCAGGUCAAAACUCCCGUGCUGAUCAGUAGUGAGAUCGUGCCUGUUAAUAGCCACUGCACUCCAGCCUGGGCAACAUAGCAAGACUCCGUUUCU
rnacentral:SRP_RNA from 1 species